UUUUUCUUUUUUAUUUCAGACAAACGUCCCCCAUCUCCUGCAGAGAACCGUGAAGUCAAGGAGCAAAUGCUUCCUCAAGCCGAAACCACAAACAGCUCUGCACAUAACAACCUGAAAGAAGACGUGUCAGCUCGUUCUUCUACAUAAACUGGGAUUCAUUGAAUUCGUUGAUUGUUCACAUCAUAAAAUCUGUUAAAAAGAUCUAAAAUCUAAAAUAUAGUUGCAGGUGGUUUGUGAGUCACACAAACCACCUGCAAUUCAAUACCUCAAAG